CAGCAAUGCCGCGUGUGUGAAGAAGGCCUUCGGGUUGUAAAGCACUUUUGUCCGGAAAGAAAUCCUCUGCCCUAAUAUGGCGGGGGGAUGACGGUACCGGAAGAAUAAGCACCGGCUAACUACGUGCCAGCAGCCGCGGUAAUACGUAGGGUGCAAGCGUUAAUCGGAAUUACUGGGCGUAAAGCGUGCGCAGGCGGUUCGCUAAGACAGAUGUGAAAUCCCCGGGCUUAACCUGGGAACUGCAUUUGUGACUGGCGGGCUAGAGUAUGGCAGAGGGGGGUAGAAUUCCACGUGUAGCAGUGAAAUGCGUAGAGAUGUGGAGGAAUACCGAUGGCGAAGGCAGCCCCCUGGGCCAAUACUGACGCUCAUGCACGAAAGCGUGGGGAGCAAACAGGAUUAGAUACCCUGGUAA
rnacentral:rRNA from 1 species